GGGCGAGUAGCUUAGUCUGGUUGGAGCACCCGACUGAUAAUCGGGCGGCCAAGGGUUCAAAUGAAAUCCCUUUUUCUUUC
rnacentral:tRNA from 1 species